rnacentral:rRNA from 1 species
UAAGGUAACGGCUUACCAAGGCAACGAUGCGUACCGACCUGAGAGGGUGAUCGGCCACACUGGAACUGAGACACGGUCCAGACUCCUACGGGAGGCAGCAGUAGGGAAUCUUCCGCAAUGGGCGAAAGCCUGACGGAGCAACGCCGCGUGAGUGAUGAAGGUCUUCGGAUCGUAAAACUCUGUUAUUAGGGAAGAACAAAUGUGUAAGUAACUAUGCACGUCUUGACGGUACCUAAUCAGAAAGCCACGGCUAACUACGUGCCAGCAGCCGCGGUAAUACGUAGGUGGCAAGCGUUAUCCGGAAUUAUUGGGCGUAAAGCGCGCGUAGGCGGUUUUUUAAGUCUGAUGUGAAAGCCCACGGCUCAACCGUGGAGGGUCAUUGGAAACUGGAAAACUUGAGUGCAGAAGAGGAAAGUGGAAUUCCAUGUGUAGCGGUGAAAUGCGCAGAGAUAUGGAGGAACACCAGUGGCGAAGGCGACUUUCUGGUCUGUAACUGACGCUGAUGUGCGAAAGCGCGGGGAUCAAACAGGAUUAGAUACCCUGGUAGUCCACGCCGUAAACGAUGAGUGCUAAGUGUUAGGGGGUUUCCGCCCCUUAGUGCUGCAGCUAACGCAUUAAGCACUCCGCCUGGGGAGUACGACCGCAAGGUUGAAACUCAAAGGAAUUGACGGGGACCCGCACAAGCGGUGGAGCAUGUGGUUUAAUUCAAAGCAACGCGAAGAACCUUACCAAAUCUUGACAUCCUCUGACCCCUCUAGAGAUAGAGGUUUCCCCUUCGGGGGACAGAGUGACAGGUGGUGCAUGGUUGUCGUCAGCUCGUGUCGUGAGAUGUUGGGUUAAGUCCCGCAACGAGCGCAACCCUUAAGCUUAGUUGCCAUCAUUAAGUUGGGCACUCUAAGUUGACUGCCGGUGACAAACCGGAGGAAGGUGGGGAUGACGUCAAAUCAUCAUGCCCCUUAUGAUUUGGGCUACACACGUGCUACAAUGGACAAUACAAAGGGCAGCGAAACCGCGAGGUCAAGCAAAUCCCAUAAAGUUGUUCUCAGUUCGGAUUGUAGUCUGCAACUCGACUAUAUGAAGCUGGAAUCGCUAGUAAUCGUAGAUCAGCAUGCUACGGUGAAUACGUUCCCGGG